AUGGACAGCCACAAUGGGAUUGAGAACGGCCCAGACUCCUACGGGAGGCAGCAGUGAGGAAUUUUCCCCAAUGGGCGCAAGCCUGAGGGAGCAACGCCGCGUGCAGGACGAAGGUCUUCGGAUCGUAAACUGCUUUUCUCGGGGAAGAGAAGGGACGGUACCCGAGGAAGAAGCUCCGGCUAACUACGUGCCAGCAGCCGCGGUAAUACGUAGGGGGCGAGCGUUGUCCGGAGUUACUGGGCGUAAAGAGCCUGUAGGCGGUGUGCCGCGUUGGAAGUGACAGCGUCUGGCUUAACUGGACGAGGGUUUCCAAGACGGGCAGACUUGAGGGCCAAAGAGGGACACAGAAUUCCGGGUGGAGUGGUGAAAUGCGUAGAGAUCCGGAGGAAUACCGAAGGCGAAGGCAGUGUCCUGGGUGGAACCUGACGCUGAGAGGCGAAAGCUAGGGGAGCGAACGGGAUUAGAUACCCCGGUAGUCCUAGCCGUAAACGAUGACCACUAGGUGUGCGGGGUAUCGACCCCCUGCGUGCCGGAGCGAACGCACUAAGUGGUCCGCCUGGGGAGUACGAUCGCAAGAUUAAAACUCAAAGGAAUUGACG
rnacentral:rRNA from 1 species